CCUCCUUUUCUCUCUUUUUUCUGAAUUACUGGGUGUAAAGCGCACGUAGGCGGGUUUGUAAGUAGGGGGUGAAAUCCCAGGGCUCAACCCUGGAACUGCCUUCUAGACUGCAAGCCUGGAGGUCAGGAGAGGCGAGUGGAAUACCGAGUGUAGAGGUGAAAUUCGUAGAUAUUCGGUGGAACACCAGUGGCGAAGGCGACUCGCUGGACUGAUACUGACGCUGAGGUGCGAAAGCGUGGGGAGCAAACAGGA
rnacentral:rRNA from 1 species